rnacentral:tRNA from 1 species
GGACCCUUAGCUCAGCUGGUUAGAGCGCUCGCUUGAUAAGCGAGAGGUCACUGGUUCAAGUCCAGUAUGGUCCA